AGGACGAACGUUGGCGGCGUGCCUUACACAUGCAAGUCGUACGCGAAAGGGGAAUCCAGCUUGCUGGGGACCCCCGGUAGAGUGGCGAACGGGAGCGUAACACGUGAGGAACCUGCCUCGGAGUGGGGAAUAACCCAGAGAAAUCUGGGCUAAUUCCGCAUGAUGCAGCGGCCCCGCAUGGGGACAGUUGUUAAAGACCGCCUCUGCUUGCAAGCGGUCGCUUCGAGAUGGUCUCGCGGCCUAUCAGCUAGUUGGCGGGGUAAUGGCCCACCAAGGCGACGACGGGUAGCCGGCCUGAGAGGGUGUCCGGCCUCAUUGGGACUGAGACACGGCCCAGACUCCUACGGGAGCAGCAGUGAGGAAUCUGCGCAAUGGGCGAAAGCCUGACGCAGCGACGCCGCGUGAGGAUGAAGGCCUUCGGUGUAAACCUCUGUCGAGGGGAAGAAGUCCGGAGUCGGUGAACGUACCCGGCUCCGAUUCGACGUACCCCAGAGGAAGCACCGGCUAACUCCGU
rnacentral:rRNA from 1 species